rnacentral:rRNA from 2 species
UCUCGGCAACGGAUAUCUCGGCUCUCGCAUCGAUGAAGAACGCAGCGAAGUGCGAUACCUGGUGUGAAUUGCAGAAUCCCGCGAACCAUCGAGUCUUUGAACGCAAGUUGCGCCCGAGGCCAUCCGGCCGAGGGCACGCCUGCCUGGGCGUCACGCCAAAAGACGCU